AAGUCGAGCGACGAUCUAGCUUGCUAGAUGAUGGAACGGCAGACGGGUGAUUGACGCGUACGAGUCUACCCAUCAAUGGGGGAUAGCCCUCCGAAAGGAGGAGUAAUUCCGCAUGGUCCCGCAAGGGUAAAGACGUAAGUCGUUGAUGGAGGAGCCUGCGUGCUAUCAGCUAGUUGGUGGGGUAAAAGCCUACCAAGGCAAUGACGGCUAGGGGGUGUGAGAGCAUGGCCCCCCACAAGGUCACUGAGACACGGGGCCUACAUCUACGGAUGGCAGCAACCGAGAAUAUUGCGCAAUGGGCGAAAGCCUGACGCAGCGACACCGCGUGUGGGAAGAAGCAUCUAGGUGUGUAAACCACUGUGGCAGGGGACGAAUUUUGACGGUACCCUGCUAGAAAGCACCUGCUAACUACGUGCCAGAAGCCUCGGUAAUACGUAGGGUGCAAGCGUUAUCCGGAUUUACUGGGCGUAAAGCGUUCGUAGGCGGAUGUAUAAGUGAUGGGUUAAAGCCCAGGGCUCAACCCUGGACCAGCUCGUCAUACUGUAUGUCUAGAGUGUGUGUGGGGAGGUUGGAAUUCUCGGUGGAGGGGUGAAAUCCGUUGAUAUCGAGAGGAACGCCAAGGGUGAAGACAGGCCUCUAACACAAUACUGACGCUGAGGGACGAAAGCUAGGGUAGCAAACCGGAUUAGAGACCCGGGUAGUCCUAGCCGUAAACAAUGGAUACUAGCUGGCCGGUCCUUGCGAUUGGCUGGCGUAAGCUAACGCGUUAAGUAUCCCGCCUGGGGAGUACGGCCGCAAGGUUAAAACUCAAAGGAAUUGACGGGGGAGCGCACAAUCGGUGGAGCAUGUGGUUUAAUUCGAUACAAAGCGAAGAACCUUACCUAGGCUUGACAUGUACCUGCAAGCUCCUGAAAGGGAGUCGCCUUCGAGGGUGGUACACAGGUGCUGCAUGGUUGUCGUCAGCUCGUGUCGUGAGAUGUCCGCUUAAGUGCGGUAACGAGCGCAACCCCUAUCGUGUGUUACAUAUCACACGAGACUGCCGCGCAGCAAGCGCGGAGGAAGGAGGGGACGACGUCAAAUCAGCAUGGCCCUUACGCCUAGGGCUACACACAUCCUACAAUGGGAAGGACAAUAGGUUGCAAUGUCGCAAGACGGAGCUAAUCCUUAAACCUUUCCUCAGUUCGGAUUGGGGGCUGCAACCUGCCCCCAUGAAGUCGGAAUCGAUAGUAAUCGGAGGUCAGCAGACUCCUAGUAAUACGUUCUCGCUCCUUGUACACACUGCCCGUCAACCCAUCGAAGUCGGCAGUACCCGAAGUC
rnacentral:rRNA from 1 species